rnacentral:rRNA from 1 species
CUACGGGUGGCAGCAGCGAGGAAUAUUGCACAAUGGGGGGAACCCUGAUGCAGCAACGCCGCGUGGAGGAUGACGCAUUUCGGUGUGUAAACUCCUUUUAUAUGUCAAGAAAAUGACGGUAGCAUAUGAAUAAGCACCGGCUAACUCCGUGCCAGCAGCCGCGGUAAUACGGAGGGUGCAAGCGUUACUCGGAAUCACUGGGCGUAAAGGACGCGUAGGCGGGUUGGAAAGUCAGGUGUGAAAUCCUACAGCUUAACUGUAGAACUGCACUUGAAACUGCUAAUCUAGAGUAUGGGAGGGGAGAUGGAAUUAGUGGUGUAGGAGUAAAAUCCGUAGAUAUCACUAGGAAUACCUAAAGCGAAGGCGAUCUCCUGGAACAUUACUGACGCUAAGGCGUGAAAGCGUGGGGAGCAAACAGGAUUAGAUACCCCGGUAGUC